GAUGAACGCUGGCGGCGUGCCUAAUACAUGCAAGUCGAGCGGACGGACGAGAAUCUUGCUUCUCUGAUGUUAGCGGCGGGCGGGUGAGUAACACGUGGAUAACCUAUCUAUAAGACUCAGAUAACUUCGGAAAACCGGAGCUUAUACCUGAUAAUAUUUUGAACCGCAUGGUUCAAAAGUGAAAGACGGUCUUGCUGUCACUGAUAGGUGGAUCGGCGCUGCAUUAGCUAGUUGUUAAGGUAACGGUUAACCAAGGCCACGACGGCUAGCCGACGGGGGAGGGUGAUCGGCGACACUCGAACUGAGACAGGGUUCAGGCUCCGACGGGUGGGAGCAGUAGGGGAUCGGCCGCAAUGGGCGAAAGCCUGACGGAGCAGCGCCGCGUGAGUGAGGAAGAUCUUCGGAUCGUAGAACUCUGCUAUUAGGGAAGAACAUAUGUGUAAGUAACUGUGCACAUCGUGACGGUACCUAAACAGAAAGCCACGGCUAACUACGUG
rnacentral:rRNA from 1 species